CAACUCAUCUCGUUUAAUGUGUUUAUUUUAAUUUUCAAUGUUUGCCCGCCGGCGUUUUAUUGCUUUCAAUUUUUGCGCAUGUUUUACGAGCGCAUUAACAUUAAGACAAACCAGCCGAUGCGAAGCCAAAAGAAUAUAAACUCAAUUAGAUAAAAGACUGCGAGUUGGCCAUUGACGGCGCUGUAAAAUUCACUUGGCUACACACACACACGCACGCACACACAGGCAAACAGAGGGACGGACGCACCCACGAAGACACUCCAAAUUUUUUGGAAUCGUGUUAAUUUCUUUUUAAUUCCUGAACUGGGCGGACUCACGCAAAAGGCCUUAAGGCCAACGGAGAAAACACGGCUCAACAUCAAAUGGAAAUCGUCACGCUUCUAAGCAACCGAUGCCGAUUCCCAAUUUUGAGCCCAAUCUAUUAGCAAUCACUGAGCAGGGAGCUCUCCCCAUCAUUUGGUACUGUUUGCUGCGUAGGCAGCUCAUCUCGCUACUUGGUUAUUGAAAUUGUACUUGGAAUGAUUCAUUUAAUGGAGCAUGAAAUCUGGAACGUUUUCUAAACAAUUUCACAGCACUGCAAAGUAGCCGCUAAUGAUGACUCUAAUUAGUUCUUAUAAGGUGUGUGGUCAAUAACAACCGUGACAAAGGUCCAUUCUUUGAGUUGAGAAUAUUUAAGUAUCAAAAUCCAGAAUGAUUUACACAGAUUCAUUUAUAGCGAGGGAGAGGAUAUAUAUAGCGAAAGAAUAUGUAAAUUUUGCUAUUUAGUUCCUUGUAUCUGAAAGGAGUAUUUUAGAUGGAGAAGGUAUAUAUAAAGAAUUAGUAAUAUGUAUAAUUAGAGAACUUCUAAAUGUUUCUAUCCUGCUUCUUGUAUCCGAAUAGUAUUAACUUUCAGACUAUUAUAGAUGGAGAGGGUAUAUAUAAUGAAAGUAUGCAUAUUGUAAUUAGAUAAUUUGUAAAUAUUCUGUCUAGCUUCUUGUAUCUGAAUAGUAUUAACUUUCUUAGAUAGUGAGAGUAUUUGCAGUGGUAGUACAAAUGUUAUAAUUAGAGAAUUUGUAAUCAUAUAACUUGUUGACUGUCUGUCUAUCUGGCAUGCAUGCUAAUAUAUACAUACAUAUAUAUCUCUUAUUUCGUGCUCCUUGUUGGCGUAGUCUUAACUUCUUUGGCAUAAUUUAUAAACUUGUCUGUUUCGUGUCGACAUUCAUCAAAUUUUUGGCAUCUUUCAGCAACUUCAUUAAAAUUAGCUCAUAAAAUUUGCAGCAAGCAAUGCGCUCUUUGCGAAAAUCUUGUUUAGUUUUCAUUUAUGGCUCAAUGCAUGCCCCCACCAUAAUGUGCAAAUGUGCAACCCGCACGCAUCCGCAUCCACAUCCGCACAUCCUUGACAGACGCAUUUCAGCAUAAUUUGCUGUGACAGCUCCCGAGCCAUGACAGCAUUUCCUGUAGCGGGCGCUUCCUUAAUUCCACUUUACCAAAUGACAUUUAAUAUGCAAAGUUUUCAGCCAGGAAUGCGGCGACUAAAGCUGGCGCGUAUCUUUUGAUGACUUUUGUUGAUUUUACACCAGGCACAUACAUAAGAUCUAUGGCCAGGCUAGUAGGGGACUGGGGCUUUUGCAUUCUGCACUUGUGCAUGUCUGGGCCUGGGCUUUGGGUUGCCCCAAAAAACAAUGGCCACAACACCAAGUGGCGGGCAUUUCAAAAUUCAUGUCGAAAUGUCGGCGAAAUACCCUUUAUUACAAAACAGCUUGGCAUGCUUUACGGCGCACAAGCGUCGUAAACUUUAAUGAUGCCAUUUUCGAGUCGCGCAAAGUUGCCUUUUGAAAUAUGAAUAGACCCAACAUAGACAAGGACCUACACGUCUGCCAGUUGCUCUAAUACUCGCCUUGUUAAGGAGAUUAGUUCGAUGGCGUCGUCGGCUUUUUGGUUGUGCUUCAAUAAAAUUGGUUUAUGCGAUCUGCACAAGUACAGCAAGUUUUCUGGCCACUUUUCAAUCGCUGUAAUUGACAUUGUUUACGGAGCUGCUUCUCUUCUUGUUGUCCAGGGCAACAACAAUUUGGGGGACGCAUCAGGCUCACCCUUAAGCUAAGCACGCACACAAAUUAAGCUCGUAAAAUUUAAUAUUUUGCGCAAAGUUUGCUGGGAGGUGAGCAUUAGUAAUUUAUUAGUGGCUUGAGCCACAGAGCUUACUCGGGGAUUUUACUAUGCAUAAUUUGUACAUGGUCUCGAAUAUUUAAAAAAAAACCAUAAAAUUUAAGUGCAGUUCAAAAUAUAUA